rnacentral:lncRNA from 1 species
AAUUUGUACCUUUUGAUUAGUAAUUCAGAUAAAAUGAGCAUGCAUAUUUUUGAAGUCAAUCCAUUCGCUUUCACUCUUUCUUAUGCCAUCAUAAAAUAUAAAAUCAACACCUUUUAUUUUCCCUUCUCACCUAUUAACAAACCUAAGAGGAGAAUGAUGUAAAUAAAAAUAACUGAAUUUGUUGACGUAUGCUUUUAAUAGUAAGACAUGGC